UCAGCCUGCUUUGAAUGCCACACCUCAGACCUUUCUUCUGUAUUGUGAGGAGCCUUGUGUCUCCCCAUUCUGCUGAAGCAGGGAAAGGAAAAUCUCAAUGAGCUGCACCUUUCACAGCACAGUUGUACUGGGAGGUGUUUCUGGACCUUGGUGUCCUUCCUGUGCCACCUCUUGUCUGAGCUGAGGCAUCCUCCUACAUGGAGAAAGGAGCUGCAAAAAUUGCUGGUCAAUCCAUUCUUCUUCAUGCCUUGUCAACCCUUGCUAAGAGAGGGACAUUCCCCCCCAUAAGUCACAACUUAGGAUCAUCUUCUCGUGGUGGCUUUUAAAAAAGAAGGCUUUACUGCCUUUGCUUCAGCCUUUCAGUGAUCCUUUGAGAUCCCACGUGUGUUUGUGACCAUUCCUGAGCCCCAAGCUGGAACUUCUAAAGCACUACCAGCAGCAACCCCAAGCAAAAUCAUGGAUGACUGAGAGCAGAAGGAAGCACCGUGUGCUCACAGAGUGGAGAACUGCACGUGCAGGUCCUUUGGAUUCCUCGUGCAGAUUAAGGAGUGUCCCUGUAGAGCUGAAACACAGCAGCAGAGCUUCUGGGGUAAAUCAGAUCCCAUCUCCCUGCAGAGCACCAGCAAUGGAAGAAUAGCACUGGGCUGGCAUUAGAGCUGCUCUGUUGGGCUGUGAUCCACCUGCGGUGCCCUGCCCAGCAAACCCAGGAGGGAUUUGGAGCAUCUGUGUCUGCCUGGUUAGGACUUGCUCAGAAGAAUUCCAUGUGUGUGCAUGAAGGAAUGAACAUAAACCCAUCUUCGCUGCCAUUUUCCUGAAUCCUCACCUCCCUACUUAGUGUUUCCAAAGAUAUCUUUGCAUCUGCUCACAGACCAUCUCAGGAGUGAUUUUUGGAGAUGAACAGGCUUUGCUGCUUCUACAUCAACUUUAGUUUUCCCUGUGGCAUCCUGGAUUUGUUUAAACCUGAAGUUCCAGAAGGGCAAAACUGUGGCAGAAGGCUGUUGAAACAUGCGCAAACUGGCAAGGAAAACAUACUCCAUCUUACUGAGAAGACCAAAGGUUUUCUAUGUCUUAAAAUUCUCCCUCACUUUUGUAAGGGUUUGAGUGCAAACUCAGAACCCUAACUUUAGAAAUUCAUGUCUCUUAGUUAUUUUAUUUAUAAAGAGCAGAAGCUCUUCUGUGUCCUGCUAAAUAAUUUUUGACCUUUGAAAAUCAGAAGUUGAGGUGUGAUCCAGCUCUGUAGUUACAGUACUGAACUUGGGAUUAAACUUGGAUUUUUCAUGGCUAUUCAGGCAUCAAAGCUUUUGCUCUGUGCAUGUGCGGUUUGUAGGAAGAGUUACAAAACAAGGCAAUACAAAAUCUGGUGGGGUAUUUGGUCAGAAAACAGCUCUACAAGUCUCCUUCGUGAGUCAUGGCUUCUGUAAACUUAUGAAAAAUUAGGUCUGAUUGUAAACUGAAAUAUUUAUCAAAGAAAUGGGAAUUUUUGGAAUCUGGAACCUUGUGUCAAAAGGCAAACACUGUACCAGUUUUGGCCAGUGGCUGCUCAAGGAUCAGAAAACAUGGAAGAGAGCAGCAUGUGAGCCUGCAGAGCUGCUACUGUCUCUGGCAGGCAAUGAAGAUUUCUCUUUCAGGAGAAAAGUUUUGAUAGCCAACAGCUUCUAAGGUUUUCAUAGUACCCAUGCCAAACCUUAAUUGGUUGUUUUAAUCAAAUGCCUCUUGGUUUUUGGCUUUGUGAAGUUUCUUGUUAAGUAUAAGAAUUUCCCAGUGAUCUGACUUGAUCUUUAGAGAUGAGAGUAUAUAUUUUUAUGCAUGUAUGUGUAUAUAUAUAUGUAUGUAUAUAUAAACACACAAAUACAUAUGCUGCUUAAUGUUGUCUUUUUCUGUCUCAGAAGUCUUGUGUUGAGAUGCAUGGUGUACAGAGGCAUUAAAAACACCCAUGGACAUCC